rnacentral:rRNA from 1 species
GACGAACGCUGGCGGCGUGCUUAACACAUGCAAGUCGAACGGAAAGGCCCUGCUUGCAGGGUACUCGAGUGGCGAACGGGUGAGUAACACGUGGGUGAUCUGCCCUGCACUUCGGGAUAAGCCUGGGAAACUGGGUCUAAUACCGGAUAGGAGCCAUUUUUAGUGUGAUGGUUGGAAAGUUUUUUCGGUGUAGGAUGAGCUCGCGGCCUAUCAACUUGUUGGUGGGGUAAUGGCCUACCAAGGCGGCGACGGGUAGCCGGCCUGAGAGGGUGGACGGCCACAUUGUGACUGAGAUACGACCCAGACUCCUACGGGAGUCAGCAGUGGGGAAUAUUGCACAAUCGGGGCGAACAUGAUGACGCGACGCCGCGUGGGGGAUGAGGGCCUUCGGGUUGUAAACUCCUUUCGCUAGGGACGAAGCUUUUUGUGACGGUACCUGGAUAAGAAGGACCGGCUAACUACGUG